UGCAAGUCGAGCGGUAGAGAGAAGCUUGCUUCUCUUGAGAGCGGCGGACGGGUGAGUAAUGCCUAGGAAUCUGCCUGGUAGUGGGGGAUAACGUUCGGAAACGGACGCUAAUACCGCAUACGUCCUACGGGAGAAAGCAGGGGACCUUCGGGCCUUGCGCUAUCAGAUGAGCCUAGGUCGGAUUAGCUAGUUGGUGAGGUAAUGGCUCACCAAGGCGACGAUCCGUAACUGGUCUGAGAGGAUGAUCAGUCACACUGGAACUGAGACACGGUCCAGACUCCUACGGGAGGCAGCAGUGGGGAAUAUUGGACAAUGGGCGAAAGCCUGAUCCAGCCAUGCCGCGUGUGUGAAGAAGGUCUUCGGAUUGUAAAGCACUUUAAGUUGGGAGGAAGGGCAGUUACCUAAUACGUGAUUGUUUUGACGUUACCGACAGAAUAAGCACCGGCUAACUCUGUGCCAGCAGCCGCGGUAAUACAGAGGGUGCAAGCGUUAAUCGGAAUUACUGGGCGUAAAGCGCGCGUAGGUGGUUAGUUAAGUUGGAUGUGAAAUCCCCGGGCUCAACCUGGGAACUGCAUUCAAAACUGACUGACUAGAGUAUGGUAGAGGGUGGUGGAAUUUCCUGUGUAGCGGUG
rnacentral:rRNA from 1 species